GGGGGGCGGGGAGCCGAGCGCGAGAGGGAGGCGAGCGGCGAGACACAGGCUCCGAGGCUUCAGCGAGCGAGCGACGUGCGAGCCGGGGAGGGAGGGAGCGAGCGAGCGAGCAGCCGCGCCGCCGCCUCGCAAUCCGCCGCCAUCCCGCCGCCUCCGCGCCCGACCGCCGCCCGACCGCCAUCGCCCGGCCCAGUCGCGCCCGCGGAACCAGACCAGGCAGAUCGGGAGCGGUGCCGAGAAAAAUUUCCUUACUAGAUGACAUUUCAGCGCAAUGUCCGAUCGUUUGGGGCACAUAACCAAGGGCAAGGAUGGGAAAAGCAAGUACUGGACGCUCAGCCUGUUUGACAAGCAUAAAGGAAAACCAGUAGACGCCGUCAGGUCCUCAGUUACUCCUCGACAUGGCUUACAGAGUCUCGGGAAAGUUGCCACAGCCCGCCGUAUGCCACCGCCUGCGAACCUGCCAAGCUUGAAGUCUGAGAACAAAGGAAACGACCCCAACAUCGUUAUAGUGCCCAAAGACGGGACGGGAUGGGCAAACAGGCAGGAUCAGCAAGACCCAAAGAGUUCCAGUGCGACGGCCUCUCAGCCGCCGGAGUCGCUGCCGCAGCCGGGUUUGCAGAAAUCUGUCUCCAGUUUACAGAAACCGACACAGUCAACCAGUCAGGAGAAUACAAAUUCAGUGCCAGGUGGACCAAAGUCAUGGGCACAGCUGAAUGGAAAGCCAGCAGGACACGAAGGUGGUUUAAGGGGCUCAAGCCGACUAUUAUCCUUCUCUCCCGAGGAAUUUCCGACGCUGAAAGCAGCUGGAGGGCAGGACAAGGCUGGCAAAGAAAAGGGCGUCUUAGAUCUGUCGUAUGGGCCAGGACCAAGCCUCCGCCCGCAGAAUGUGACAAGCUGGAGGGAGGGCGGUGGGCGAAACAUAAUUUCUGCCACGUCUCUGAGCGCCUCCCCAACUGAGCUGGGCAGCAGGAACUCGAGUGCGGGAGACGGAGCCCCCUCCUCGGCAUGCACCAGCGAUUCUAAGGACCCCUCUCUCCGCCCGGCUCAGCCUGUCCGAAAAGGGGCUUCACAGUUCAUGGGGAAUGCAUACCACCCACCUACAUACCAUGACAUGCUUCCUGCUUUUAUGUGUUCGCCACAGUCAUCCGAGAACCAGGGUCCAGUGGAACGAGGAUCCUUUCCCCUUCCCCAGCUCCGUCUCGAACCCCGGGUUCCUUUUAGACAGUUCCAGAUGAAUGACCAAGACGGCAAAGAAAACAGGCUGGGAGUGACUCGCCCGACCCGUCCACUGAGGCAGCUGGUGGAACGGGCUCCCCGGCCCACCAUCAUCAAUGCGGAAAACCUGAAAGGUCUCGAUGACCUGGACACCGAUGCCGAUGACGGCUGGGCAGGCCUGCAUGAAGAGGUGGAUUACUCCGAGAAGCUGAAGUUCAGUGAUGAUGAAGAGGAGGAAGACGUGGUGAAAGACGGCAGGCCCAAGUGGAGCAGCUGGGACCCCAGGAGGCAGAGGCAGUUGUCACUGAGCUCUGCAGACAGUGCUGAUGCCAAGCGCGCCCAAGAGGAAGGAAAGGACUGGGCUGAAGCAGCGAGCACGACCCGUGUCAUCCGGAAGGUGCCAGAACCCCAGCCGCCUCCCCGGAAGCUCCAUGGCUGGACCUCAGCCCCUGACUACCAGAAGUCCUCCAUGGGCACCGUGUUCCGGCAGCAGUCUGUCGAGGACAAAGAGGACAAGCCGCCCCCACGGCAGAAGUUCAUCCAGUCCGAGAUGUCCGAGGCUGUGGAGCGAGCCCGGAAGCGCCGGGAAGAGGAGGAACGCCGGGCCCGGGAGGAGAGGCUGGCCGCCUGUGCCGCCAAACUCAAGCAGCUGGACCAGAAGUGUAAGCAGGCUCAGAAGGCGAGCGAGGCCCAGAAGCAGGCGGAGAAAGAAGCCCCCUGCUCUCCAGGCUCCGAGAAGGCGCCCCCACAGGAGAACGGCCCUGCUGUCCGCAAAGGCUCCCCCGAGUUCUCCGCCCAGGAAGCCUCCACCACGUUUACAGAAGAAGCCCCCACAGCUCCUCCAGCUGUGGCUCAGAGCGGCGGCAGUGAGGAAGGGGCCAGGGAGGCUGGGUCCCCUGCACAAGAAUUCAGCAAGUACCAGAAAUCACUUCCUCCCAGAUUCCAGCGCCAGCAGCAGCAGCAGCAGCAGCAGCAGCAGCAGCAGCAGCAGCAGGAGCAGCUGUACAAGAUGCAGCACUGGCAGCCCGUGUACCCUCCGCCGUCCCACCCGCAGCGCUCCUUCUACCCGCACCACCCUCAGAUGCUGGGCUUCGACCCCCGCUGGAUGAUGAUGCCCUCCUACCUGGACCCGCGGAUCCCGCCCGCGCGGACCCCCGUGGACCUCUACCCCUCGGCCCUGCACCCCUCAGGACUGAUGAAACCCAUGAUGCCCCAGGAUUCCCUCAGUGGGACUGGCUGCCGCUCUGAGGAUCAGAGCUGUGUGCCCCCACUGCAAGAAAGGAAAGUGACCGCCGUGGAUCCAGCCCCUGUGUGGAGCCCUGAGGGUUACAUGACAUUGCAGAGCAAGGGCUACUCGCUCCCCCACCCGAAAUCCAGCGACACUUUGGCCAUGGACAUGCACGUCAGGAAUGAAAGCUCUUACUCUGCCUCACCUGGAAGGUCAGGGGGCGUAAGUGCCCAGCGCGAUCUCCUUGAGGAGAGAGGCGAGGAGUUCUUGAGUGCUUUUGACAAGAAGGCCCCCGCAGACUUUGACAACUGUGUCUCUUCUCAAAGAAUAGGCCAGGAGCUUUUGUUUCCACCCCAAGAAAAUGUUCAGGACGCAGGUGCUCCCGGCAGUCACCCCCCAGACCUCAGGUGCUCCCCACUGGAGCCCGACUUUGUCCCGGCUGAGAAAAAGCCCGAGUAUAGCAGCUGGGACAUGAGCCACCAGCCCAAGGCCGCGGACACAGCCACCAGUGUCGAGAAGGAGGCGCCCCGGGAGGAGCCGUCCUUCAGCGUCUCCUCCUGGGAGAAGGAGGGGAGCCCCAGCCAGCCGCCGGCCCUGGAGCCCGAGUGGCCGCGGGAAGCCCGGGGCGCCAGCAGCCAGCACCAGGAGCAGCCUGGCAGGACCCGGCGAUCAGGGCCCAUCAAGAAACCUGUCCUGAAAGCCCUCAAGGUGGAAGACAAGGAGAAGGAGCUGGAGAAGACGAAGCAGGAGCCCGCGGAGGCCGGGGCCCGCCUGGCCCAGGAGUCGGGGCCGGGGCGCAGCGCAGCGGAGGACGAGGACCUGGAGAAGGACCCUGCGCUGGCCAGCUUGGCCCCGGCCGCCUCGGAGGAUCCGGGCUCUGGCCGCGCCAGCUCAGGCCGGGAGGCCAGCAAGCCCGAGGAGGACGAGAAGCCCGCCAGGGCCUGGGAGACCAGACCCUCCCGGGAGGCCAGCCACACUCCCCCCACAAAGAGGAACAACUGGAUCUUUAUCGACGAGGAGCAGGCCUUCGGGGGCCGAGGGCAGGCCCGGAGCCGCGGCCGCGGAUUCCGAGAGUUCACCUUCCGCGGGCGGCCCGCGGGCGGCGGCAGCCUCUGCGGCGGGGGCGUCCUCGGGGCGCGGGGCCUCUACGGCAGCAGCCAGAGGAGCAGCCGAGGCCGGGGACUGCGGGAGUUCGGGCAGCCAGAGGACUUCCCCAGGGCCAAGCCCCGGCGGAGGAUCGCCAGCGAGACCCACAGCGAGGGCUCCGAGUACGAGGAGCUGCCCAAGCGGCGGCGGCAGAGAGGCGCGGAGGCCGGGGACGAGGGCCCGCGCCUGGAGAGGGAGGAGGCCGCCGUGAGGAAGGGCGACUUCAGGGAGUCCUGGCGGUCCAGCAGGAUGUACCCCGAGGACCACGGGGGCCUGGAUGCCAAGAACCGAGGCCCCCGGGCCUUCGGCCGGGCCCUGCCCCCGCGGCUGAGCCACUGCGCGUACGGCCGGAGAACCUUCGUGGCCAAAGAGUCUGCCCACUGGCAGAGCAGGAGCCCCGGCGCCUCCUGGCAGGAGUACAGCGCCCCGGACACGUGCGGGGCCCGGCGGCCCCUGGACAGAGACUAUAUCCCAGACGCCUACAGACACUCUGAGCCCUUGGGCGCCCGGGGCUUCGAGGACGGCCACGUGGAGGACAAGAGGCCCUUCUUUCAAGACGACCAUGCGGCAGAUUCUGAAAAUGCCGAGAACCGGCCCUUCAGGAGGAGGCGGCCCCCGCGCCAGGACAAGCCCCCUCGCUUCAGGCGCCUCCGGCAGGAGCGAGAGUCCCUGGGCCUGUGGGGGCCAGAGGAGGAGCCGCCCCUGCUGGCGGGCCAGUGGCCGGGCCGGCCCAAACUCUGUCCCGGGGACAAGAGCGGUGCCACAGGCCGCAGGUCCCCCGAGCUCUCCUACCAGAACUCCUCGGACCACGCCAACGAGGAGUGGGAGACCGCCUCCGAGAGCAGCGACUUCAGCGAGAGGCGGGAGCGGCGAGGUGGCCACGGGCCCGAGCCUGACCCCCAGGCCGAUGGCAGCCUGCCAGGGGCGAGCGUGGGUGAGAAGAAGGAGCUGGCCAAGCGGAGCUUCUCCAGCCAGAGACCCCUGGUUGACAGACAGAGCCGAAAGCUGGAGCCGGGAGGGUUUGGGGAGAAGUCUGUUAGGCCAGGUGGUGGCGAAGCGUCUCCCCGUUAUGAGAGCCAACAGAAUGGGACGCCUUUGAAAGCCAAAAGGUCCCCGGACGAGGCCUUGCCUGGAGGUCUUGGCUGCAGUGGUGGGAACGGCCACUACCCACUGGAGCGGGCAGCCCAUGCCACCUCUGACAUCUCCGAAGCCACCUGUGAGAAGGCAGAGAAGGAGGCCAAGCUGGCUGCCCAGCGGGCAGGCGAGCCUGGAGAGACCAUGGCACAGUUUGACCUGAACUACGGAAGUGCCAUCAUUGAAAACUGUGGGUCCAGCCCUGGGGAGGAGAGUGAGGCGGGCUCCGUGGUGGGUGAAGGCUUCAUCGAGGUCCUGACCAAGAAGCAGCGCCGCCUGCUGGAGGAAGAGAGGAGAAAGAAGGAGCAGGCUGUGCAGGUACCUGUCAAAGGUCGAGGGCUUUCCUCUCGUAUUCCUCCUCGGUUCGCGAAAAAGCAAAACAACCUGUGCCUGGACCAAGGUGAUGGGACCAUGCCUGGCAAUGGCCUGGGCACCGAGAUCUGGGAGAGCAGCAGCCAGGCCCUCCCCGUUCAGGCCUCCACCAGCGACUCCUGGACCAAAGCUGCCCCUGCCUUCAGCAGCACUGAGCCUGGCACUGCCGAGGGUUUUAAGAGCAGCCAGGGAGACAGUGGUGUUGACUUGAGCGCCGAGUCUCGUGAGUCGUCUGCGACCUCCUCACAGCGCAGCUCCCCCUACGGAACCUUGAAACCCGAGGAAGUGAGUGGGCCCUGCCUGGAGCCCAAGGCUGACAGCCACAAGGAGCAGGCUCAGAAGCAGUCGGAGCCGAAGGAAUCAGAACAAGGCUCGGGGCAGAGCAAGGAGCACAGACCGGGACCCAUCGGCAACGAGCGUUCUCUGAAAAACAGAAAGGGCUCAGAGGGGGCCGAGCGGCUGCAAGGAGCUGUGGUCCCCCCUGUUAACGGCGUCGAGAUUCACGUGGACGCCGUGCUGCCGGUGCCGCCCAUUGAAUUUGGAGUCAAUCCAAAAGACUCUGAUUUCAGCUUGCAGCCUGGUUCUGCUUCUGGGCCCACAGGGAAUCCAGUUGUCAAACUUCAGGACGCACUGGCUAGUAACGCGGGGUUGGCCCAGAGUAUCCCCAUCCUCCGGCGGGAUCACCACAUCCAGAGAGCCAUCGGCCUCUCCCAAAUGUCCUUCCCCACCGCCGACCUCACUCUGAAGAUGGAGUCUGCACGCAAGGCUUGGGAAAACUCGCCCAGUUUGCCGGAGCAGAGCUCUCCAGGGGGUGCCGGCUCGGGCCUCCAGCCCCCGUCCUCGGGGGGAGCCUCCAGUGGGGUCAGCUACAGCUCCUUCGGGGGAGUCUCCAUGCCACCCCUGCCUGUGGCCUCGGUCGCACCGUCCGCUUCCCUUCCAGGCAACCACCUGCCACCUCUCUACCUGGACGGCCAUGUGUUUGCAAGUCAGCCCCGGCUGGUUCCUCAGACGAUACCUCAGCAGCAGAGUUACCAACAGGUGUCCUUCUGAUGAAGAGAAGAAAGGCCUAGACUCCCAGGCAUGGAUGCAUUAGAAAGAGGCCGCCGCCGCCGCUGCCCAGCAGAUCCCAAUUUCUCUUCACACGUCUCUGCAAGCGCAGGCCCAGCUUGGCCUGAGGGGCGGGCUCCCCGUCUCCCAGUCUCAGGAGAUCUUCAGCUCCUUGCAGCCGUUCAGAUCUCAGGUGUACAUGCACCCCAGCCUGUCGCCACCCAGCACCAUGAUCCUCUCUGGAGGCACAGCCUUGAAGCCCCCCUACUCGGCGUUCCCAGGCAUGCAGCCUCUGGAGAUGGUGAAGCCCCAGUCCGGCUCGCCCUACCAGCCCAUGAGUGGGAACCAAGCUCUGGUCUACGAGAGCCAGCUCGGCCAGGCCGCUGGGCUCGGCGCCUCCCAGAUGUUGGACUCCCAGCUCCCGCAGCUGACGAUGCCGCUGCCUGGCUCCCAGCUGCCUCUGCCUCGGUAUGGCUCCGGGCAGCAGCCCCUGCUCCUGCCACAGUCCAUCCAGCUGCCGCAGGGGCAGAGCCUCUCUGCCGGGGCCCCCCGAAGACUUCUCCCACCCGGGUCCCAGCCCUCGGUCCUCAACACCAGCAGAGAGUCCUCUCAGAUGGAGAUGAAGGGCUUCCACUUUGCCGACAGUAAACAGAAUGUUCCUUCGGGAGGCUCCGUGCCGUCGCCGCAGACCUACAGGCCUAGCUCUGCUAGCCCCAGUGGGAAGCCCUCUGGAUCAGCAGUUAACAUGGGCUCUGUGCAGGGACACUACGUUCAACAGGCAAAACACCGAGUGGAUGAAAAGCCCAGCCUGGGAGCCGUGAAGCUGCAGGAGGCCCCCUCAGCCGCUUCCCAGAUAAAGCGAACUGGAGCGAUCAAACCUCGGGCGGUGAAGGUGGAGGAGAGCAAGGCCUGAAGGUGCUCCCCGCCCGCCCCGGAGACGCCGCUGGGGCCGGGGAGCCCCCAGGUGGGCCCGCCGCCCAGCCCCCUGGCCCGGACUGCGAGAUCUCCUCUUCACUCCUGGAAGCUCCGUCGUCCAACCAGCUUGCACCCGUGGAUACAUGGCAUUGACCUGCUUGCUUUACUAUGAAACAAACAGAAAAGCAGACGACUCCGUUCCCAUCUUCUCUCCGUCACGAGCGUGGAGUGACCAAGCCUCCGUGCAGCGCCCAUCAACCCUCCCGCCCGCCCUCCUCGGCCCUCCCGCGGCCGGGGCGCCCUCCGCCGUGCUUCCCGCCCCAGCACGGCGGGUUGGCAGCAGGGCCACUUCCGUUCGAGGCUUUUCGUUUUAAAAAGCAGCUGAGGUUUUUACAAGGGAGAAAGAAAAAACAAAACCACAAGCCGUGUCUGUAUAGCUGGACUUUGCUGUGUCCUCUGCCAUCCCUCCCCCGCCCCUUCGGUUCCCUCGUCCCUGUCGCCUCUCUGGUUUGAUUUGAUACGUCCCUGCGAUACCGUGCGAGAGGACUCAGGAGCGCGUCCUCUCCUGCUCGCCCUCUCUUGGUUGACCUUCGAGUUUACUUGGCAAAAAGAAGCGGUGAUUUAAGACUCCGCUCCUGAGCUUGGGAAGCGGUGGUGGGAAGGAGGGCUGGUGUUGCAGUCGGGGGGCAGCCCCGUGACGUCGGUGACGUUUUCAGCCGAAGACUUACACAGAAUUUCUGCCCCGGACUUUUCUAAAGCUGGUGGGACACUGCUUGCUGUGCACCCGAGGGAAUCGUGGAGAUGCCAGGCACUGGUGUUUCCAGCGGGGCCUGGACGCUGUGCGCCCACAGCGCCACAGCCCCGUCAGCACCUGCCUGCCUGCCUGCGGGGCGCCGGCACCCCUGUCCUGGAAGCCCUCCCUGACAUGCCUCCUCUCCUUCCGGAGCUGCCUCUCUCUCCGGGUCCCCUUGUCCCUCCACCUCUCCUGCAGCCUGUCCCUCGUGGUGACGGGCGUGUGGACAGGGUUCGGUUGUGGGCGCCGGGAGGCUGCGGCGAGGGCGUCCUUGUCUCCGUCCCCGGCAGCAGCCAGCUCUGAGGACAGGGGCCAGAGCAGGGUCCAAGGGGAGCUUGGCUUGGAGGGCUGACCGUGGUUCCCAGACAGCCUGGGCAGCUUCUAAAGUCUGCAGAGCUGCCUCCCCCAGUGUGUUCAUGCAAGGCCUUCUGUGCUGGGUUUCGGGUUUUGAGAUAAGAACUAGAAGGAAAUGCCAGAGUCUGUCGUCCCGAGGAAGGGAGGGAAACAUUGGGUUGGGCACACGCUCUUCAGAGGCACUAACCACCUACCUGCCGCGGCUGGUGGGCCCCGGACAGCCUGGCCCAAAGGACGCGCAGCAGGCACCCGGGGUCGCCCUGCAGGGAUGUGACAGCCACUCGGGCUGUGGUCCUAAGCUCUGUGUCUAGUGUAGGACACAGGAGAAGAAGCGCCUUAGGAACGGCUGGAGUCCCCUCCUGCGGCUCUUCGCCACCGUAAGGAAGUGGGGUCUCCGGGCCUCCCUUGGGCAGGGCCAGUUUGCUUGGAAGAUGCUUUCCUGCUUCGUCGACAGCUUGCAGCACUCCCCUCCUUGCCUCCACUCAGACCUUACUUCUCACUCGCUUUUCUUUUCUUUUCCUCUUUGAGCCCCUGAAUCUGUACCCCGACGUCCCUUCUCACAGGGCCGCCCGCUGGCCAGAGCUCCCCAUGUGCCCCAGUCGCCCUUCCCCUGCCUGAGUGCAGCUCCCCUCUGCCCCGGCCGCCCCCUAGGAGCCACACACUCACAUUUAGAGACACGUCCAGGUCCCUCACACCCGAUUCCAGUGCACAGUGUCAAAAGGAAAAAAGGCUCUCUGCAUCCUGGAUGCUGUUACAGACUCUCAAGCUGUGUCCCUUCAGGUGAACCUGCCGUCAGUGACAGUACGUCCUGUUCGAAAAAAAGGAAAAACAAAAGGCUCACCUUUCUCCAGCCCAUUUCUCUACCCCUGUAUCUCCCCCCUCCCCCAAUAAGAACAGAAAACACUAGAAUUUAUUUAUAUGUAUUGAUGUUGUAGGUCUAGGUGAAAAAAAGAAGUAAAUGUUUCACUGCGCUAUUUAUAUAUAAUGUCUGAAUUGUUCUGUGCAGGAGAGGCCAGGAAACUGCAUGUGAAGUUGAGUGCGUUUACCACCUUCGUGUGCCCAAGCUGCGGUCUCUUUCCCACUGAGAUACAGAUUUUAAAUUGAAUUCUGGAGGCAGAGGGCAGGCCUGGGGCCUGCCCAACACCCCAUCUCUUCCUUGGUCUGAUUAAAUGCAGUUUUUAGUGCAGAGAUGUUUUAAGGUGCAAUAUCUCUUCCUUUCAUGUGGUUUUGGAGCCAAGCUCAAGGUAAUAGGGCUUGGGCUCGUGUUUGGGCUUCAAAUUCCCAUCCUCAGAGUGCAGAUCCAUGCAGAGGCGCCUGCCAGAAUGCCUUGGGCCUUUGGCAGGAAGAGGUACAGACGAGCACUUAACCUUUUCUGCUGCUGAGAUGGAGGGAGGGUCGUGUCCGCCUUCUCACUGUACCUCUGCCUAAACUUACUCUCCCUUCUGAUACAGGCUGCUUGGCCCUGGUCCUGGAUGGUGCGGCCUGUUGCUUGGCAACCGGUGACCCUGCAGUGGUGUGUGUUCAGUGUCCAUUACUCAGUGGGGUAAGGUCCCAGAGCGUGGGUUCCUGUAUCCACGGGGCCGCGUCCACCCACUGGAGGCCUCGUUGCCAGCUGUGUUUGGUCCGGUUUUCUUUGCUUCCCCCUUUUAACUGACGUAACUGUUUUCAGACGUGAAAUUCAUACACUUCCGGCUCUAGGCUCCUUAAGGGGGAAAACUGAAGGAUGACUAAUGCACAGAAAAACUGGUUGGUCCACUUCCAAAGCCAUGGUCAUUCCAGCCACUUCCAGGGGGAUAUGGCUAUGUCUUGUCACUAAAUAGUGGCCUCACUCUUCUCCAGCUCUCCCCUCGCCCUCCUGUCUUCUGGAUCUGCCUUCCGGAUAGUUGAUGAGGUUUGUGACUGGUGCUCAAGAGCUGAGGAGGCUGAGAGCACGCACACGAGGGCACGGCCACGCUCCAAACUGGCCCGCAGAGGCAGUGCGUGUGAGCUGGUCGAGCCCCUCCCUGCUGUGUGAUUCCCUCUGCCAAGUAGCCGCAUGUCACCUCUCAAAUCUGUAUUUGUCCCUUGUCCCUUCUUGCAGAGCAAGCCUGGGUUAGAAGGUCUGUUAGAAAUGGCCUUUGACAACCAAGGACACUAGAGUGCUUGUGCUUUGUCAUGUCUUGUGAUGACUGGGUAACGCAGACUUCCAGAAAGCUGGCUCUUCCUGUUUGAAAAAUGACAUGGACCUAAGACAAACAGAUCACCCGGACAGGAAUGGCUCAGUGUUGGGGUCAGACACCGGCUGUCCCCUAGCCCUGCUCUCCACCGGGACCACCAGCGCACACCUGGCUAGCGAUCGUCCAGGCGCGUCCAACCUGCCGUUCACCGUUUCUCCACCCCAGUUAGGUGGCCUCCAAGAUGGGAGCAGUGUCCCCAGGGCCCUGUCUUCAGCCUGUUGCGAAGCCUCGGAGCGGAACUGUCUGUCAAGGCUCUCUGGAUGACUUUCUUCCAUUGUUUAGAGGCGAAACUGUACUCCAAGCUUUUGACCUCAGGCCUUGCGUAGUAAAAACGGUUUGGGGUUUUUUUUUGUUGUUCUUGAGAGGGUUUUUGUUUUUGUUUCCUUUCUUAUUUUGGCCUUUCCUCUCUUUGUCUUUUCAUGUAGACCAGAUAUUUGAAAGGGCAGACGAUGGCUAAAGGUGUAACGUGCAGCUUGUUUGGACAUUGUUUGGGGGAGCUUUUUACCUUGGAUGGGAAAUGGAACCGUGGGUUCACCAGGCCGUGAUGGCACACUUACCCUUCACCCUCCCUCCAGUUCAGUACCUGUUGUUUCUCCUUUCAAAUAUGUGAUUGUACUAGCUCUUUCCAUAUGAAAGAAUUCUCCUUAUUUAAAUAAAAAAAAGUAAAAAAAAAA